UACAUACUCCUAUUUCAAAUCUUGUGUGUGUUUUCAGCUUGAACAUAAAGAAAAACCAUCCCAUUUUCUAUGAGAUACAAAAAUAAAUAAAUAAAUAAAAACUAAAAAGAUAAAUGUAUCAGUUUCCAGAUUGCACUAGAAACAUCAAUCACCUUGUCCAAGAUUGAGCCUCUUUCCGAAAAAUUGAGUGGGGAGAAGACCUCGUCCAAACUCUCCAAUCCGAAGUGUUUAUGCGCGGAUCCAUCACCACAAUGUAAAACCAGCCUCCCAAACAGAUUAAUGUACAAGGAACCAAUCUAUCAUUCACUUAAGAAUGGAAGAUUAUGAGAGAGAGAGAGAGAGAGAGAGAGAGAGAGAGAG
rnacentral:lncRNA from 1 species